GACGAACGCUGGCGGCGUGCCUAAUACAUGCAAGUCGAACGCUUCUUUCCUCCCGAGUGCUUGCACUCAAUUGGAAAGAGGAGUGGCGGACGGGUGAGUAACACGUAGGUAACCUACCCAUCAGAGGGGGAUAACACUUGGAAACAGGUGCUAAUACCGCAUAACAGUUUAUGCCGCAUGGCAUAAGAGUGAAAGGCGCUUUCGGGUGUCGUUGAUGGAUGGACCCGCGGUGCAUUAGCUAGUUGGUGAGGUAACGGCUCACCAAGGCCACGAUGCAUAGCCGACCUGAGAGGGUGAUCGGCCACACUGGGACUGAGACACGGCCCAGACUCCUACGGGAGGCAGCAGUAGGGAAUCUUCGGCAAUGGACGAAAGUCUGACCGAGCAACGCCGCGUGAGUGAAGAAGGUUUUCGGAUCGUAAAACUCUGUUGUUAGAGAAGAACAAGGACGUUAGUAACUGAACGUCCCCUGACGGUAUCUAACCAGAAAGCCACGGCUAACUACGUG
rnacentral:rRNA from 1 species